rnacentral:rRNA from 1 species
UACAGAGACUGCAAGCGUUAUUCGGAUUCACUGGGCGUAAAGGGUGCGCAGGCGGUUGGGUGUGUCAGUUGUGAAAUCCCGAGGCUUAACCUCGGAACUGCGUCUGAAACUACUCGACUAGAGUACUGGAGAGGGUAACGGAAUUCACGGUGUAGCAGUGAAAUGCGUAGAUAUCGUGAGGAACACCAGAGGCGAAGGCGGUUACCUGGACAGUUACUGACGCUCAGGCACGAAAGCAUGGGGAGCAAAAGGG